AUGGGCACCCGGUGGUUGCCUCCGGCCUGGGAGCUCUACCUCAAGAACCACUGCAUCUCCACAUUUAAGAACUGGCCCUUCUUAGAGGGCUGCGUCUGCAUCUCGGAGCAGAUGGCUGCCGGCAGGCUUCAUCCACUGUCCCACUGAGAGCAAGCCUGACUUGGCUCAGUGUUUCUUCUGCUUCAAGGAGUUGGAAGGCUGGGAGCCAGAUGACGACCCUAUAGAAGAACAUAAAAAGCAUUCAUCUGGUUGUGCUUUCCUUUCUGUCAAGAAGCAGUUUGAAGAAUUAACCCUCAGUGAAUUUUUGAAACUGGAUAAAGAAAGAAUCAAGAACAAAAUCGCAAAGGAAGCCAACAAUAAACAGAAAGAAUUUGAAGAAACUGCAAAGAAAGUCUGCUUUGCCAUAGAGCAGCUGGCUGCCUUGGAAUGA
rnacentral:lncRNA from 1 species